rnacentral:tRNA from 1 species
AGGGUAGUAGCCAAGUGGUUAAGGCUCUGGUUUUUGGUGCCGGUACCGCAGGUUCGAUUCCUGCCUACCCUG